UUAUAUUUCCCGUAAUACCAGAUCACGUAUCGUUUGGAAUUUGGAACGACGUCGCAAGUUCUCUGACGCCCUCAACAAGCUAGGUGAUAAAUGUCGCCCAAAACUUAUACUUAAGUUGAUGAAUGAGCCAUGCUUGAUGCUGCGCCAAGUAGCUAACCACCUACAGAAAUACAAAGCACAAGUAGAGUCCAUAAAAAAGGGGAGAAAAAAUAAAUUAGCUCCAAGGAUGGAAGCAUCCAAAUUCGAUUGCUCAGUCAUGACUCAACUUCCUCCAUUGGUGCAAAGUCAGCAGAAUCACGAGGCAAACAAAUUUAUACAGCAGAAUCACGAGGCAAACAAAUCUACACAACAGAA